AAGCCGUGCAGAAGAGCAGCUCGACUCAUUCCAGCCGGAGCUUCGGAGAGACGGACUCACGAACAGAAAGAGAUUACUGAAAUAUAUCUGCGGGAGAGUGAUACAGCGGAGAAAGAUCUGCUUUCACACUCAAAAGCCGCAGGUUCUGCUCGAUCUCGUCUUCCAUGCACAUUCAUCUCAGGAUCUGACAGGAGCAGUUCUGCAUCCAUAUGGCACACAAGGACUUGUGUGUGUGAGAAAGAGAGAGAGAGAGAACAGAUUGUUGUGGGACCUUCAGUCCUGCCCUGUGAACCUGAUGCCACAAUCACCAGCAGGAGAGCAAAAGCAACACACUCUCACACAGCUGUUAAACACACACACACACACACACACACACACACACACACACCAAAAUUAACUUCUGACACAUCUGCAAAUGGCUGGAAUUACAGUUAUUCAUUUAGAGACAUUUAGUGACUUACCGAUGAGGACAAAAUGAUGUCACUCGCAACUGGUGAUAUACUGUAAUUGAAUGAACAUUUAUGUGUAAAAUAUACAAAAUACAGCUUUAUGGCUAGAAACUAUUUGAUAGGACACACAACACUGUUUUUCAGUAAGAUAUGUUUUUGAAAGAAGUCUCUUUUCUGCUUAUUAAGGAAAUAGAAAUAUCUGGGGUCAAUAUUUUUUUAUUUUUUU
ensembl:lncRNA